UAACCAAUGGGAGUCGAGUGCG
rnacentral:piRNA from 1 species